rnacentral:snoRNA from 1 species
CCCUGAUGAUGAGUUGCCAUGCUAAUACUGAGCCACCAGACCAGGUAGGGCAGUGUUGCCCUGGUUUGGGUGCCAGUGAGUUUAACAAAACUUCUCAUGUGGAGACCUGAGGGGU